rnacentral:tRNA from 1 species
ACCUGGCUGGCUCAGUGGGUAGAGCUUGUGACUCUUGAUCUUGGGGUUGUGAGUUUGAGCCCCACAUCGGGUG